UUAAAUUUUAUCAGUAAUAUUUGAGGCUUUAACAAGCCCCUGUUAUAAAGGUAUAUUCACUAUUGAUUUUGAACUUCAUAUAGAAAUUUGUAUUUCUUAAAAUGAUGACAGUAUGUUGUAUCAGUUUUUGCUUGCAUUCUCAAUCACAUACAAUUUUUGCAGGGUUCCCUAAUUGCUAUUAUUUUGAUUUUACAGCUUUUAUAAUAAUGAAUAAAUGGUUGUGUUUCUAUAAUGGCAGGAAAGACAGUAAUAAUUUCUAAUCAGCCUUAUUUCUAUAAGAAAGCUGAAUUUUUUCCGGGUAGUGCUUUUGUAAUUGGUGCUGACACUGCAGUGAGGCUUAUCAAUGAGGUCAAUGGAAUCAAGGUUCUUCAACUGGAAACUGCAGCUGGUGCAACAAUUAGGGUAUAAAAUUGUACCAAUUAUGGUUAUGAUGUAUUAAAAUGUAAAAAGAUCUGUCUAACCAUGUGUUUUCCUUACGUGAUUAAGUUCUUUGAUCAUGCUAUUCGUAUCAACGUACCUCGAUCACAAUUCCUUA